AACGAACGCUGGCGGCAUGCCUAACACAUGCAAGUCGAACGAGACCUUCGGGUCUAGUGGCGCGCGGGUGCGUAACGCGUGGGAACCUGCCCUUAGGUUCGGAAUAACUCCCCGAAAGGGGUGCUAAUACCGGAUAAUGUCUUCGGACCAAAGAUUUAUCGCCUUUGGAUGGGCCCGCGUUGGAUUAGCUAGUUGGUAGGGUAAAAGCCUACCAAGGCGACGAUCCAUAGCUGGUCUGAGAGGAUGAUCAGCCACACUGGGACUGAGACACGGCCCAGACUCCUACGGGAGGCAGCAGUGGGGAAUAUUGGACAAUGGGCGAAAGCCUGAUCCAGCAAUGCCGCGUGAGUGAUGAAGGCCUUAGGGUUGUAAAGCUCUUUUACCCGGGAUGAUAAUGACAGUACCGGGAGAAUAAGCUCCGGCUAACUCCGU
rnacentral:rRNA from 1 species